GGCUGGUGGCCAGCACUGUUGUUUUUUACAGGGAAGUAGGAGUAUUAGGAUUAUGUAUCUGUUUUUAUUGUUUUGUUUUUUAUACUUGUAUUGUGGUUUUUUUGAGGAAUUCUGUGACAUAGCAAGCUAUUGGAGUUGUUGGAUUAUUUAGAACGCCGUAUUUGGGGUAGUCGACAAUUACGUGUUCAAUAUCCUCAGACCAGUAGCCACAGUCGUAUCUGGGAGAGUCUUUUAUGUUUUUUUUAUGCAUGCUUUUAUUUAUUCUUGAACAAUGCACUGUUAUUACUGUUAUUAAAGAAGGUUUGGAAGUAUUUGACACCUAAAAUUUGCCUUGUUUUUAUCAGAUAAUCUUUUGGUUUAGUUAUGUAUCUGUUUUUGAAUUUUCCUUGAAAGUCAAAGUAUGGGAAUGCUAUUUUAAUUUUGUUUCCUUUUUUUGUAGCUUGUUUUGCUAAAGUAUCUGCCUUUUCAUUACCUGUGAUAUUUUUGUGCGCCGGAAUCCAGCAUAGUUGUAGGGAGGGUUGUAAUGGAGUAGAGCUAAAAUGACACUUUGAGAGUCUGUGAAGGUUGGGGAUAUUUCUAAUUUUGAUAAGAUCAAGAGUUUUAGAUAUGGCUAUUGCUUCAGCAGUGAAGAUAGAAGCAUUAUUAUUUUUAAUUUUGUACAUUAGAUGUAAGUUUGUGUUGGGAGAGUAAACGGCAAAACCAACUGGAUCAAUAUCUUUUAUUUUGGAUCCAUCUGUGUAGAAUGUUGUGGAGUUAUUUAAUUUAUCUGCAAAGAUUGUGUUGAAUUCACUAUUGGGAUUUUUUGCUAGAUAUAUUGUGUCCGAUGUUGUUCUCAAUGAUAUUGGUUAAGUUUAGUGUUAUUGCUUUAAAGUUAUAUUUGUAGGGAAGUGGUGUUAGUUGUUUUUUAAUUAAUGGCCUGUAGUAGUAGAAAACAUUUUCAAAUGUUUUGAGGAAAGUUUAGGCAUAUGUUAGCGAGCAUGUUGUUGUUUCUUGCUGUUAACAUAAGUGAAUACAUUUUGUUUAUUAGCAGGUCAUCGUCUAUUGAUGCUAAUUUUAG